AAAACAAUGCAAAGUCGAGCGGUAGCACAGAGAGCUUGCUCUCGGGUGACGAGCGGCGGACGGGUGAGUAAUGUCUGGGAAACUGCCUGAUGGAGGGGGAUAACUACUGGAAACGGUAGCUAAUACCGCAUAACGUCGCAAGACCAAAGUGGGGGACCUUCGGGCCUCAUGCCAUCAGAUGUGCCCAGAUGGGAUUAGCUAGUAGGUGGGGUAACGGCUCACUAGGCGACGAUCCCUAGCUGGUCUGAGAGGAUGACCAGCCACACUGGAACUGAGACACGGUCCAGACUCCUACGGGAGGCAGCAGUGGGGAAUAUUGCACAAUGGGCGCAAGCCUGAUGCAGCCAUGCCGCGUGUGUGAAGAAGGCCUUCGGGUUGUAAAGCACUUUCAGCGGGGAGGAAGGCGGUGAGGUUAAUAACCUUGUCGAUUGACGUUACCCGCAGAAGAAGCACCGGCUAACUCCGUGCCAGCAGCCGCGGUAAUACGGAGGGUGCAAGCGUUAAUCGGAAUUACUGGGCUAAAGCGCACGCAGGCGGUCUGUCAAGUCGGAUGUGAAAUCCCCGGGCUCAACCUGGGAACUGCAUUCGAAACUGGCAGGCUAGAGUCUUGUAGAGGGGGGUAGAAUUCCAGGUGUAGCGGUGAAAUGCGUAGAGAUCUGGAGGAAUACCGGUGGCGAAGGCGGCCCCCUGGACAAAGACUGACGCUCAGGUGCGAAAGCGUGGGGAGCAAACAGGAUUAAUACCCUGGGUGUCCACGCCGUAAACGAUGUCGAUUUGGAGGUUGUGCCCUUGAGGCGUGGCUUCCGGAGCUAACGCGUUAAAUCGACCGCCUGGGGAGUACGGCCGCAAGGUUAAAACUCAAAUGAAUUGACGGGGCCCGCACAAACCGGUGGGAGCAUGUUGUUUAAUUUCUAUGCAACGCGAAGAACCUUACCUGUCCUGUGACAUCCCAGAACUUUCCAAGAAUGGAUUGGGUGCCGUUCCCCAACUGGGA
rnacentral:rRNA from 1 species